rnacentral:rRNA from 1 species
ACGCUCGACACCUACGGAGGCAGCAGUCGGGAAUAUUGCGCAAUGGAGGAAACUCUGACGCAGUGACGCCGCGUGCAGGAAGAAGGUUUUCGGAUUGUAAACUGCUUUAGACAGGGAAGAAGAAGUGACAGUACCUGUAGAAUAAGCUCCGGCUAACUACGUGCCAGCAGCCGCGGUAAUCUGAGCGGGCUGGCAAGGC